UACGGAGGUGGCAAGCGUUAUCCGGAAUUAUUGGGCGUAAAGCGUCCGCAGGUGGCACCUCAAGUCUGCUGUCAAAGACCGGGGCUUAACCCCAGAAAGGCAGUGGAAACUGAAGUGCUAGAGUGCAGUAGGGGUAGAGGGAAUUCCCGGUGUAGCGGUGAAAUGCGUAGAGAUCGGGAAGAACAUCGGUGGCGAAAGCGCUCUACUGGACCGCAACUGACACUCAGGGACGAAAGCUAGGGGAGCGAAUGGG
rnacentral:rRNA from 1 species